CGGAGAGGUAAUAAAGUCUGUCGGCACGAGGACCUUGGAUUUAUUAAGUAAAGUGGCAGCGGUUAUACAGAGUCAUAAAGCGUGAGAGAUCGAAUAUGUCUAAGUCCCUAAUCAGCGCUGAUGGUUCGUCCAGAGCUUCGCCUCCGUGGAAGGUCUGCUUCAGAAGAAGAUGAAGAGUCCCUGUGUGAUACAGUCUUAUGCUGUAUCCUCCUCUUGAUGAGCAGGUUAUUUUUCCCAACACUACCACCCUGACAACAGAGAUUGAGGAUGAAGAACCAGUGGUAUCGGACAUUGUGGAAGAUCAGACUGUUGGCGAUUGCAUCCAGGAGGAGGGCCUGUUCUACGUUGCUGGCUGGCUUGUCCGGGUCCUUCAAAAGGAGGAAAUUGUUCAGGCCUGUCCACACUGUGAGGUGCUGCUGUUGGGUGCCAGAGCAGGACCACAGCUAUGCCACAAGUGAGGACCACCCCUUCCUGGAGGCAAAAAAAUACACGGCAACGGCAAACCUAAUGAGGCCUUUGGAAGGGUUUUUCGCUGCCAUCCAGCUUUUGGAAGGGGAAUUUGGAUGGAACAUCGACGCUUUCUGGUAUCUCUCUA
ensembl:lncRNA